AAUGGUUGAAGAGAGCUUCCUUCAGUCCACUCAUGGAUGGGUGAGGGGUUUGAAUUAGCUGCUGACUCAUUCAUUCAAACACAAUAGAUCUGACAUCAUGGUAUGCUAUUGUGAAUGUUUGAAUGAUGCAGGAGGUAAUUUCUUCCUUUUCUUGUCUGUGCUUGGACUGAAGGGAGCUCCCUCUAACUGUUUA
rfam:Vigna angularis cultivar Jingnong 6 chromosome 7, whole genome shotgun sequence.